UACCUGGUUGAUCCUGCCAGUAGUCAUAUGCUUGUCUCAAAGAUUAAGCCAUGCAAGUCUAAGUACGAGCUCUCGUACAGUGAAACUGCGAAUGGCUCAUUAAAUCAGUUAUGGUUCAUUUGAUCGUACAGUUUACUUGGAUAACUGUGGUAAUUCUAGAGCUAAUACAUGCGAGAAGCGCCGACCUCGCGGGAGGCGUGCAUUUAUCAGACCAAAAACCGGCCGCGUCUUCGGGCGCGUUCGCCUUGGUGACUCUGGAUAACUUUGCGGAUCGCACGGUCUAGCACCGGCGACGGAUCAUUCAAGUGUCUGCCCUAUCAACUUUCGUCGGUACGGUAUUUGCCUACCGAGGUUCUUACGGGUGACGGGGAAUCAGGGUUCGAUUCCGGAGAGGGAGCCUGAGAAACGGCUACCACAUCCAAGGAAGGCAGCAGGCGCGCAAAUUACCCAUUCCCGACGCGGGGAGGUAGUGACGAAAAAUAACAAUGCAGGACUCGUUCGAGGCCCUGUAAUUGGAAUGAGUACACUUUAAAAGCUUUAACGAGUAUCCAUUGGAGGGCAAGUCUGGUGCCAGCAGCCGCGGUAAUUCCAGCUCCAAAAGUAUAUAUUUAAGUUGUUGCGGUUAAAAAGCUCGUAGUUGGAUUUUGGGCGCAGGCGGCCGGUCCGUCGCAAGGCGUGUACUGGACGUCCUGGCCUUCCCUUCGGUUCUCCGCCGGUGCUCUUGACUGAGUGUCGGCGGCGGCCGGAACGUUUACUUUGAAAAAAUUAGAGUGUUCAAAGCAGGCUCUCGAGCCUGGAUAAUGGUGCAUGGAAUAAUGGAAUAGGACCUCGGUUCUAUUUUGUUGGUUUUCGGAGCGCGAGGUAAUGAUUAAGAGGGACAGACGGGGGCAUUCGUACUGUGCCGUUAGAGGUGAAAUUCUUGGAUCGGCGCAAGACGAACGACUGCGAAAGCAUUUGCCAAGAAUGUUUUCUUUAAUCAAGAGCGAAAGUCAGAGGUUCGAAGACGAUCAGAUACCGUCCUAGUUCUGACUAUAAACGAUGCCAACUAGCGAUCGGGGGGCGUUACAUUGACGACCCCUCCGGCAGCUUACGGGAAACCAAAGUCUUUGGGUUCCGGGGGAAGUAUGGUUGCAAAGCUGAAACUUAAAGGAAUUGACGGAAGGGCACCACCAGGAGUGGAGCCUGCGGCUUAAUUUGACUCAACACGGGA
rfam:Ciona savignyi cont_42582, whole genome shotgun sequence.